UAUAGAGGUGUCCUUAUUUUAGACUGUCCACAAUAGCAGAUCACAGUCUGCUUAUAGGAAGAUUUAUGAAGAGCCAAUUGUAGCAUCAAGACAAGUAGAGGCCACAGAGACAGAACAGGAGAUAGGACAAAGAAGAGCACAAGAAUUGAUGAGGCUUAUUAGUAUGUUUUAUUUAAGAAGAACACAAGAAAUAAAUAAGAAAUAUUUACCACCAAAAGUUGAAAGUGUUAUAUUCUGUCGUCCAACUCCUCUACAAGUAUCAGUGUAUCAUCAUUUAUUAUCAACACCAACAGUCAGAUCAUGUUUAUCUCAUUCUCACUCACUGGGUGGUAGUCCUCACUUGGUUUGUAUUAGUGCUUUAAAGAAACUCUGCAACUGUCCAUCACUGGUCUACACAUGUAAUGAUACUCAGGUACUGACUGAGAAU
rnacentral:lncRNA from 1 species